UGCUCUGUUUUUCUGAAUUAACGAGAUCCCUCAAAAUCCUGCCAGAAGCUCUCACCUGUAACGUCAGGCCACAGUUGCUGAUGCUGCCUGACUACGACCACCACCACCAACAACAACAACAACAGUGCCAGGCAUACAUGGUUGCAGUGCAGGGCCAGCUAUGGCUACGUCUUCAAAUAACCCCCUCCCACAAGAUGAUGGUCUGUGGAUGUUUCUUCAGAGCCGAGGGAUUUCUGAGGAAAAUAUUCAGAAAUUGCAGCAAGACCAUAUUGACAGCUCGGUAGUUGGAGAAAUGGAUGAUGCCACU